GCGGACGUGGCGGAAUGGUAGACGCCGGGGACUUAAAAUCCCCUGGGCCAUGCUCGUGCGGGUUCGAGUCCCGCCGUCCGCA
rnacentral:tRNA from 1 species